GAUUUGUGUGUAGAGAUCACAAACGCAACUUCAGGGACCAAACAUGUACAGUGUAUAGGCCGAACUGUAACUUUAUAAGAAAGUAGAAAGUAAUGGGCUAUGUUGGGAGCUAAACAGUGCAUGUCUUGUCUAAGGAAUUCAAAGCUUUUAAAAACACUCUUGUAGGCUUACAAAACCUAUGUUUGGAGGCAGGAUUUAUCUUGACCACUAUUUCAACACCUCUAAAUAGGAAUAGGACUUACAUAGAAAAAAACUCGAAAUGAUCUCCUACCCCUUCAAUUCCAGGCUCGACCUUUAGAAUGAAAUUUCUCAUCUUGGCUGGCCUUUUGAGCACUGCCACUGCUCUGCCCAUCCCCGUGAGUACACCCUCCUCAGCUGCUGACUCAAUUUCAGAUUUAGAGUCAUCGCAUUUCUCGGCUAGAAAGCAGGUCUUAUCUUUUCAUUUCACAAAAGAGGAAAGCGGAACCCAGGAAAGUCAUAGAACUAGGAGUUCACCACUCUUUGUCAGUCCAAGACUCUGCCCAGUACAAAUCUCAGCUCCAUAUGCCAUGUGCUAGCUGUGUGACUUUGAACUAACCCAUGGUUUCCUUGUCUAUAAAAUGAGUCCUAGGAACACCUCAGAGUUGCACGGAGAUGAUUUUUUUAAUGCAUCUAAGGCAGAGAAGGGUCCUAUUUGAAAGAUAGGAUGUUCUCAAUAAACUCAGUGAUAUAGAACAAAUAUUCUGCAGUGACCCAGGUCUAAAUUAAGCAGUUUGAAUUGAGUUUCAUUUGUAAUGCCCUUGCCCCAAACCAUCUCAUGUUUUCUUAAAAGGCUGUUACAUGGAAAUGCUCUGACACCAAAGGACUAUCUACCUCAUUGUAGAUUUGAUUUUAAAGAAGGAAAUAUUUAAGAUAACUUACAUUGAUUACUAAAUUAUGAAUAUAAAAACAACUUAUGCCUGAAUUAUAUUUGAGUGAUCAUACAGACACACCUUUAAAGUCCAAUUUUUGAAAACCAGAUUUGGAUAAAAAGCUACAUUCAUCUAUAGUGCCCUUGAUAACAAACCUAAUUUGUUUCUUUAGACCACAAUCCUUUUUGCCAAAGCUGGCAAGUAUCGUGGUCUAAAAUUCCAAACAAUUUGUAUUGCCUGUUUCUUUAGGCUGAUGGGAAUGCUGCAGUAUACAUAUUUCAUUAAUUCUAAUAUGUACUUUUUGAUAUUUCAGCAGCUCUGAAAUUGAGCUGUGUCUUAAAAACACAAUUUGAUAAAGUGUCACGGCAGCUUAACAGCAGCGCUUUUCUUUUUUGGUAAUUUAUGAAAUAAUGGUGCUUUUGACAAUGAUAGCAUCUAAGAAUAUAUGAAAUACUGUAAUCCCAGAACAUCAUUAACUUCACCUAUAUAGACAUUUUGUCAUCAACUGACUAUAUACAAAUGAGAUCCACUGAGUCUAAUCUGGGUUUACUAGUCUGAAUAUGAGGGCACCAAGUAGGCAAGAAACUCUCUCCCCUGCACACUUUGUAUCAAAGGAGCUUUUGAAGAAGUGAGGGAGCUUUCAAAAUUUGUGUUUGGGGUGCAGAACUUAAGUGUACAUUUCCACACUCCCUUCACUUUGAGUUUAUAACUACUGAGAACUAAAUCAAGAACACCAUUCAAAGAUUUACAAAAGGAAAUAUUCAUGUAAUAUGGAAUUAAUCUUAAGAAAUGUAAAUAAAAGCAUUCUUUGGAUAUAAAUUUAAAAGCAAAAAGCCUUGGUCUUCCAAAUCAUUGCACAAAAUUAAUUAAACUUUUCCCUAUUAGAUAUCCAACUGCUUUUUAUUUCAGAAGUGAAGUUACAUUACUGAUGGGUAUAAUGCUCCAUAGUGGCUUAUUACUUAUUCUCCUUUAGAACAAAACCUCUCUUUAGUGGAUAAUGUAUUUCCAUAUGCUGCUUUACCUUGUUGCUGUUAUUGUUUUGCAAGCUCGAACAAUAUGCUGAAAGUUCCAGUGAACAGGUGAACUUCUAAUUGUAUUUUUAAAUAAUGCAUUCAUCAUUUUAAAAGUCUGCCAUUGUCUGAAAUGACUGACAUCAUGUUUCUUUUUACAGAGAUUUAUCUUUUACCCACCACAAGUACCACCAUUUUUCCCUCAGGUCCUCUUUCCCCUACCUCCGCAACCGCCCCUGGUCCUCACACCUAAUGAUCUUAUCGCGGUAAAUAUAUUCUGCCCUGUUAUUCUAUAAAGUCCAUAUAAAUACUACAUUCAACAUCUCUCAAUGGUCCUAAUUAAGGUAGGGAGCAGAGAAAGGCACCCUAACAGAACAAACGCUACCUGAGGGCAUUGUUCGUGCCUAAGAUCUGUCACAGUUGGGACAGUGUUUAGCUUAAAUAUUACUGCAUACACUCUAAGACAGACAGCUCAACAAGUAAAGAGAUUCACCUUUUAGACGGAGUUGGUCAAUUUCUUGAGCAAGCUGCCAGAAUCUUAAAACAGGACCAUGUGGAUGCUACAAAACAAUUUUCCAGUAAAACUGCUUGUAUAAGCAAGUUCUCAAAACAAAGUAUUCAUAGUUGUCCUAAAAUUUUAGUUCAAGUAUCAUUCACACAGGGAAUCUGAAUCAUUUAUGAAAGAUGGGACUUGUAUGGAAGUGUACACAGAGGGUUUCUUAACCAUUCAAAUCAAUUUUCUAACUUUCAAAUAUGGUAAAUAUCAUUACAAAGCUGUAGAAAGAAAAUAUUUCUGUGAAUUAAAGGUAUUUAAAUCCAGAUAUUGUCAUUUUAAAAUCUUGUAUCAUAUAAAUAAUAUACUAAGCAAUAAAAUGGAAUUUUUCAAUAAAAUAGAUUUUUGUAUACAAAGUAUACUAACUUGCAUAUGUAAUAAGUUAAAUGUAGGUUUAAAAAUUAACCUAUUGACAGCACUGAUCAUCAAUUUUUCUUCCUUCACAGUUACUCAUUGCUAUUUUGAACCAACUAGGGAUUUUAUUUCCAUGACUAAAUUGAUAAAGAAAUAAUUCUCCCACUACUAUGCCAGAAGUUACGUAUGGUUAGUAAAAUCUCCAAAUUCUUUCAUGCAUUUAUAUCCUUUUCAAUAUUUUUAUCAUGAGUUUAAUUGCCUCUGAUUGUGUCCACAACGGUAAAUUAAUAAUAUGAUGAAAAUAGGUGUAAACAAGACCAAUUAAUUACAAAUGCUUUCUUCAAAGGAUGUAUUUUAAAGUCAGUUUAUUAAAACUCCAGAAAUAUUUUAGAAAAUAACCACCACCAGAAGUCCUAAGCAUAAGAAAACAUACUGUUAAAUAAGAAUAGCCUCUCGAAGUGCUCAGAAUUUUCAAGUUCCCCCUUUAGCCACCAAAUAUUUAAAGUAGUUAUGAUCCUAAGGAAACUUUGCAUAUCCUUCUAUUUGAGUUUGAAAUGCUUUCAAAAGCUCAAGAACACCUGCUGACAAAACAAACACUGACUGUGG
rnacentral:lncRNA from 1 species